AGCGGCACUGAAAGGAGAAGAGUUGUGAAGAUGUACUGCUGAAUUUUGUGAUAUCCAUUUUUUUUGUCUGAUUUUUCACCAAUUUCUCAGUGAAGAUAUGCCGGAUUUCUGUAAAACGACAUGUUUCAGAGAUUCUAGUUUGAAAUAAAGAGAGAAAGAAGCAAAAUAAAUUCACCUUAGAGAGGCAGAGCACCUGCACAGAGACCCUUGCUGCUCUGUGCUCCUCUACCCACCUAAAGGAACACCAAAAAGGAAAAGAUUGUGGAAGAAACAUAAUGUUUGUAAAGAAGCUUCUUCAGCCUGAGGUUGGUUGGGAAACUGCAACAGCAGCUAAUAUUGGAUGUGACCCCUUUUUUCAGAACAUGCCAGUGCAAGAUGGAAAGGUGAGAAAGCUUCAAAACAAGAGUCUAUUGAGGACUGUGUGAGCCGAGGUUCACCCUUUGGCAAGCUAGUGUCAGCGUAUGUUCAUUAAAUUUGCUAAAAUGUGCUGGAAAGAAGCUGAAAAGGCUGCUGGAUUCUUCAGAACAGGCAUCACAGCACAGGGACAAAGGCACAAGGGAUGCAGGCCACUGCUCAGACACUGAGGAAGAGGAUGAGAGGGUGGAAGACAAGGACUUUGGUGUUUGCAACCUCAUAUAAGAUCUGCACUUGCUUGGAUGGAGCACACUGAAAAGAGUCAGAGCAGCUUCGGUCUGAAACAUUGUCCCGGACACAGAUCAGCAAAACGGCAAGCACAGAGGAAAUAUUCGGCACAAGUCUUCAGAUGCAACUCAGAAUGGGUCUUUGAUUCAAAGCUGGUCCUGGCACAGAUCCUUCAGCAUCACUCAAAUUGUGGAAGAGGGGAGUGUCUAUCCUCCCGUCAAAACAAAUGGUGAUUGAGAGGAGAUUUGGUCAGAAGAACCUGUGACUGAUCUUUCAGAGAUGUUUCCUGACACUGCCAGAACCCCCACUGGAAUCUAUGCUACAAAGAGACUGCCUAUAAAGGGAGCUGCGGGCCGCGCUGUGCAAUUUAAAUGCCCUGAAAUGCCACUACUGAGUCCCACCACAAUGGAGAGGCAGGAGAUUCAGCAGUAGUCUUCCUCCUGGUGGUCUGCAUGCUGUACCUAAUCUACUCCUCCAUGGAGGAGCAGCUGUCCAAUCCUUUCACCGUUCUGCUCCAAGGUCAGCAUGAAGCUGCUCUCAUAUCCACCUCACAGGACUAAUCUGCCACGGUCACAACACCUUGCCAAAGAAGGUUAAUUCAAAUUUACCUCUGGCUCUAGUCAGUCAAGUGUCCUUCAGGAGUUUCUUUUUAAGCUGGUGUCAGAGGAAACUGCAGGAAACCCAAAGAGCUACUGUACAUCAGAACACCUGCAUUCUUUGCCACAAUGCCUUCCUUCAAAGAGAAUGAUAAACUGAAUUGAUGAGACAUGUAGUUGGCUAAUCCUGUGCAUUGGGUGCUGUUCUCAGAUAUAAUCUUACCACCGGUGUAUUUUAUACAGUUUGAGUUGAACUCUCACAGAAAUGAUCACAUUCUUCUCUUAUACCGCUGGACUGAUUCAUCUUGCCGUUUUAAAUGUGUAUUUUGUUUUGUGAGUAAAUAAAUGUUCUCCUGAGAUUGUUCUGUCUCUUAAAGAUAAAUUUAUAUUAACACCAAGGAGGGUCUUUAGAUGCCAAAUUUGUGUAAAUGAGACCAAUGGCCCUGAAAAAUAAAGCCUGGGAAAAUGUA